rnacentral:rRNA from 1 species
UACGAAGGGUGCAAACGUUGCUCGGAAUUAUUGGGCGUAAAGCGCACGUAGGCGGCUUAGCAAGUCGGAUGUGAAAGCCCUCGGCUCAACCAAGGAAGUGCAUCCGAAACUGCUGAGCUUGAGUACUUAAGAGGAUCGCGGAAUUCCCGGUGUAGAGGUGAAAAUUCGUAGAUAUCAGGAGGAACACCAGUGGCGAAGGCGGCUUUCUGGACGGUAACUGACGCUGGAGACGCGAAAGCGUGGGGAGCAAACAGG